CUGCCUUUGGGGGGACCCACCAGGCAGGGAAGGGAACAGGGCUUCCCGUGCCCUCUGCUCCUCCGCCUGUCGGGCCUCAGC
rnacentral:SRP_RNA from 12 species